rnacentral:rRNA from 1 species
GACGAACGCUGGCGGCGUGCUUAACACAUGCAAGUCGAACGAUGAAGCCGGAGCUUGCUCUGGUGAAUUAGUGGCGAACGGGUGAGUAACACGUGAGUAACCUGCACUUGACUCUGGGAUAACUGCGGGAAACUGUAGCUAAUACCGGAUACGACCCUCGGAGGCAUCUCCUGGGGGUGGAAAGAAUUUCGGUCAAGGAUGGACUCGCGGCCUAUCAGCUAGUUGGUGAGGUAAAGGCUCACCAAGGCGACGACGGGUAGCCGGCCUGAGAGGGUGACCGGCCACACUGGGACUGAGACACGGCCCAGACUCCUACGGGAGGCAGCAGUGGGGAAUAUUGCACAAUGGGCGCAAGCCUGAUGCAGCAACGCCGCGUGAGGGAUGACGGCCUUCGGGUUGUAAACCUCUUUUAGCAGGGAAGAAGCGAAAGUGACGGUACCUGCAGAAAAAGCACCGGCUAACUUCGUGCCAGCAGCCGCCGUAA